CCCCCAAUUGGGGAAUCUUCCGCAAUGGGCGAAAGCCUGACGGAGCAAUACCGCGUGAGGGAGGAAGGCUCUUGGGUUGUAAACCUCUUUUCUCAGGGAAGAACACAAUGACGGUACCUGAGGAAUCAGCAUCGGCUAACUCCGUGCCAGCAGCCGCGGUAAUACGGAGGAUGCAAGCGUUAUCCGGAAUGAUUGGGCGUAAAGCGUCCGCAGGUGGCGAUGUAAGUCUGCUGUUAAAGAGUGAGGCUCAACCUCAUAAGAGCAGUGGAAACUACAUAGCUAGAGUGCGUUCGGGGCAGAGGGAAUUCCUGGUGUAGCGGUGAAAUGCGUAGAUAUCAGGAAGAACACCGGUGGCGAAAGCGCUCUGCUAGGCCGCAACUGACACUGAGGGACGAAAGCUAGGGGAGCGAAUGGGAUUAGAUACCCCAGUAGUCCUAGCCGUAAACGAUGGAUACUAGGCGUGGCUUGUAUCGACCCGAGCCGUGCCGUAGCUAACGCGUUAAGUAUCCCGCCUGGGGAGUACGCACGCAAGUGUGAAACUCAAAGGAAUUGACGGGGGCCCGCACAAGCGGUGGAGUAUGUGGUUUAAUUCGAUCAACGCGAAGAACCUUCCCAAGACUUGACAUGUCGCGAACCUUUCUAUAAGGGAAGGGCCCUUCGGGUUUUUUUACACAGGUGGGGAUUUUUGUUAAAAGCUCUUGGUAUAUUUCCCAGAUAUCGUAUCUGUACGGC
rnacentral:rRNA from 1 species